rnacentral:lncRNA from 1 species
GUGACAUUUUGUAAGAACUUCUCCUUUUUUCCUUUUAUCCUUUUCAUAUGCUUGUUGAUGGAGAUAUCGUGUGAGUGAGAGAGAGAUGUUGAGAGUUGAGAGAAAACGAUUUUGGUGAGAGCGCGAUUGAGAGGGUUUUGGUGAGAAUGAGAGAUAGGUGCGAACGAGAUUGAGAGAGCGAUGAGGGAGAGAUUUCUCUGAGCUUGAGGGAGUUCAUGAGGUUGGGGAGAGGUGGAAGGAAGACGAGUUCCUGCUUCGUCGUCUCCAUUUCGUUCUUUUCUUUUUUUUAAUUUAUUUUCUAAUUCCUUUUUAUUUAAUUUAAUUUGUUUUUUUUAACAGAGGUAAAAACCAUAAAAAUGUUUAUAUGUUAGUAUUUUCUUUUAUUGUUCUUAAUUUAUUUUUUAUUUUUUAUCCCGGUUCAUAUAUUUAAAGUAGCAUCAAAAUAUUAAAUAAUCCUGAGUGGUCUGGUGGAGAAGGGCAGUGUGCAUAUUCUUGAGUGGGGUGGGUUCAACACUCAUGUGUGGCAU